rnacentral:misc_RNA from 1 species
UUAACGAUUUAUAUCUAUACUCAGACAACAUAAUUAUAAAAGAAUUUGAGAAGGCUACUGGCGGGCACUGACCAGGGGUAUGGAAGUCCCCGGCGGCCCCUAAAGGAGGGCCCACCAAAGCAACAUGGUAUAGUUAACAAAGGGUUGGAGAUCGGGCCUGGAAGACCCUAACUCGGUAAUGAUCCUUCCGCAGGUUCACCUACGGAAA